GGCGGAUGUAGCCAAGUGGAUCAAGGCAGUGGAUUUGUAAAUCC
rnacentral:tRNA from 5 species